UACCAGCUGGCUGCAACUGUUUAUUAAAAACACAGCACUGUGCAAACACGAAAGUGGACGUAUACGGUGUGACGCCUGCCCGGUGCCGGAAGGUUAAUUGAUGGGGUCAGCGCAAGCGAAGCUCCUGAUCGAAGCCCCGGUAAACGGCGGCCGUAACUAUAACGGUCCUAAGGUAGCGAAAUUCCUUGUCGGGUAAGUUCCGACCUGCACGAAUGGCGUAAUGAUGGCCAGGCUGUCUCCACCCGAGACUCAGUGAAAUUGAACUCGCUGUGAAGAUGCAGUGUACCCGCGGCAAGACGGAAAGACCCCGUGAACCUUUACUAUAGCUUGACACUGAACAUUGAGCCUUGAUGUGUAGGAUAGGUGGGAGGCUUUGAAGCGUGGACGCCAGUCUGCGUGGAGCCGACCUUGAAAUACCACCCUUUAAUGUUUGAUGUUCUAACGUGGAUCCGUAAUCCGGGUUGCGGACAGUGUCUGGUGGGUAGUUUGACUGGGGCGGUCUCCUCCUAAAGAGUAACGGAGGAGCACGAAGGUUGGCUAAUCCUGGUCGGACAUCAGGAGGUUAGUGCAAUGGCAUAAGCCAGCUUGACUGCGAGCGUGACGGCGCGAGCAGGUGCGAAAGCAGGUCAUAGUGAUCCGGUGGUUCUGAAUGGAAGGGCCAUCGCUCAACGGAUAAAAGGUACUCCGGGGAUAACAGGCUGAUACCGCCCAAGAGUUCAUAUCGACGGCGGUGUUUGGCACCUCGAUGUCGGCUCAUCACAUCCUGGGGCUGAAGUAGGUCCCAAGGGUAUGGCUGUUCGCCAUUUAAAGUGGUACGCGAGCUGGGUUUAGAACGUCGUGAGACAGUUCGGUCCCUAUCUGCCGUGGGCGCUGGAAGAUUGAGGGGGGCUGCUCCUAGUACGAGAGGACCGGAGUGGACGCAUCACUGGUGUUCGGGUUGUCAUGCCAAUGGCACUGCCCGGUAGCUAAAUGCGGAAAAGAUAAGUGCUGAAAGCAUCUAAGCACGAAACUUGCCCCGAGAUGAGUCUUCCCUGAGACUUUGAGUCUCCUGAAGGAACGUUAAAGACGAUGACGUUGAUAGGCCGGGUGUGUAAGCGCAGCGAUGCGUUGAGCUAACCGGUACUAAUGAACCGUGAGGCUUAACCUUACA
rnacentral:rRNA from 1 species